UACAGCCAUAUCAUGUUGAAACACCUGUUUCUGUGUGAUCACUAAAGUUAAGCAAUGUUGAACCUGGUCAGUACCUAGAUGGGUAACCACUCAGAAAUACCAGGUGGUGUA